rnacentral:lncRNA from 1 species
CUCAUACUCUAAUACAUACAAUCCCAAAUAGAAAGACCACCUGAACUUUAGUUACAACCUGAGGCAACAGAAUUUUCAGUGAUAAUAGACCUGGCCACCUCCAUAGCAAUAAUCUGUAGUCCUAAAGCAAGGUACAUCCCUUGAAGAAAUAGUUAAAUCCCUUACAACUAACACUCAAUAAUUUCAACAGGAAACAAGCGCA